rnacentral:rRNA from 1 species
UACGUAGGGGGCUAGCGUUGUCCGGAAUCAUUGGGCGUAAAGAGCGCGUAGGCGGCCCUGUAAGUCCGCUGUGAAAAGUCAAGGGCUCAACCCUUGGAUGCCGGUGGAUACUGCAGGGCUAGAGUCCGGGAAGAGGCGAGUGGAAUUCCUGGUGUAGCGGUGAAAUGCGCAGAUAUCAGGAAGAACACCCGUGGCGAAGGCGGCUCUCUGGGACGGUACUGACGCUGAGACGCGAAAGCGUGGGGAGCGAACAGG